UUGGCGAUGCGUCUUAAGCAUGCAAGUCGAGCGGGCUUAUUCGGGCAACUGGAUAAGUUAGCGGCGAACUGGUGAGUAACACGUAGGUAAUCUGCCGUGAAGUGGGGGAUAACCCAUGGAAACAUGGACUAAUACCGCAUAUACUCUUGCUACAUAAGUAGAGUAGAGGAAAGUUUUUUCGCUUCACGAUGAGCCUGCGGCCUAUUAGCCUGUUGGUAGGGUAAUGGCCUACCAAAGCUACGAUAGGUAGCCGACCUGAGAGGGUGACCGGCCACAUUGGGACUGAGAUACGGCCCAGACUCCUACGGGAGGCAGCAGCUGAGAAUCUUCCACAAUGGACGAAAGUCUGAUGGAGCGACAUCGCGUGAGGGAUGAAGGCUUAAAUUAUCGAAGAAUGAGUGACAGUAGAUAAUGUAAGCCGAA
rnacentral:rRNA from 1 species